rnacentral:rRNA from 1 species
GUUGACCUCGGAUCAGGUAGGAAUACCCGCUGAACUUAAGCAUAUCAAUAAGCGGAGGAAAAGAAACCAACAGGGAUUGCCUCAGUAACGGCGAGUGAAGCGGCAACAGCUCAAAUUUGAAAUCUGGCCCCCCGGGUCCGAGUUGUAAUUUGCAGAGGAUGCUUUUGGCGCGGUGCCUUCCGAGUUCCCUGGAACGGGACGCCAUAGAGGGUGAGAGCCCCGUACGGUUGGACACCAAGCCUGUGUAAAGCUCCUUCGACGAGUCGAGUAGUUUGGGAAUGCUGCUCAAAAUGGGAGGUAUAUUUCUUCUAAAGCUAAAUACCGGCCAGAGACCGAUAGCGCACAAGUAGAGUGAUCGAAAGAUGAAAAGCACUUUGAAAAGAGGGUUAAACAGCACGUGAAAUUGUUAAAAGGGAAGCGCUUGUGACCAGACUUGCGCCCGGUGAAUCACCCAGCUCUCGCGGCUGGGGCACUUUGCCGGCUCAGGCCAGCAUCAGCUCGCCGUCGGGGACAAAAGCUUCGGGAACGUAGCUCUCUUCGGGGAGUGUUAUAGCCCGCUGCACAAUACCCUUCGGCGGGCUGAGGUACGCGCUCCGCAAGGAUGCUGGCGUAAUGGUCAUCAGCGAC